rnacentral:rRNA from 1 species
AUUGAACGCUGGCGACAUGCCUUACACAUGCAAGUCGAACGGCAGCACGGGUGCUUGCACCUGGUGGCGAGUGGCGAACGGGUGAGUAAUACAUCGGAACAUGUCCUGUAGUGGGGGAUAGCCCGGCGAAAGCCGGAUUAAUACCGCAUACGAUCUACGGAUGAAAGCGGGGGACCUUCGGGCCUCGCGCUAUAGGGUUGGCCGAUGGCUGAUUAGCUAGUUGGUGGGGUAAAGGCCUACCAAGGCGACGAUCAGUAGCUGGUCUGAGAGGACGACCAGCCACACUGGGACUGAGACACGGCCCAGACUCCUACGGGAGGCAGCAGUGGGGAAUUUUGGACAAUGGGCGAAAGCCUGAUCCAGCAAUGCCGCGUGUGUGAAGAAGGCCUUCGGGUUGUAAAGCACUUUUGUCCGGAAAGAAAUCCUUGGCCCUAAUACGGUCGGGGGAUGACGGUACCGGAAGAAUAAGCACCGGCUAACUAC